CAACGGAUCUCUUGGUUCUGGCAUCGAUGAAGAACGCAGCGAAAUGCGAUAAGUAAUGUGAAUUGCAGAAUUCAGUGAAUCAUCGAAUCUUUGAACGCACAUUGCGCCCUCUGGUAUUCCGGAGGGCAUGCCUGUUCGAGCGUCAUUAU
rnacentral:rRNA from 1 species